GAUCGCAGGAGAAGGGGGAAAAGGGGGUGUAAACCCUAACCACAAAAAAAUCAUCAAUUGAAAAGGAAAUCGCGGGUUGAUUGUGUGCAUGAACCAAGAAUGAUGAUCCCUUAAGCGUUUCUCACAUCAAUAUGAAUGAACGUGUCAAGGAGAGGUCAAGCAUAGGAGGAUAACGGGUCAAGAUAAGGCAAGGUGACAAAUACACUUAUUGGAGUACUCGAGGUAAGUGAAUUUCGAUUCACUUUUUAGUAGGUUUAAUAGAUUUUAAUACUUAUGUUUACGAAACAUCAUGAAAGAACAUGUCAUAAUCAGAAGUACAAAGCCAAUAAUGCCUCAUUAUUGAAGAAGGUUGUAUUUAAGCCGAAAGUAAAUUGGUGGGUUUAAACGGGUCGAAUUUUAUGUGCAUAUGUUGCGUAAUGUAAUGAAAUUCGU
rnacentral:lncRNA from 1 species